CAUUGUAGGCUUUGGAAACUGUUUAACUUGAGUGCAGAAGGGGAGAGUGGAAUUCCAUGUGUAGCGGUGAAAUGCGUAGAUAUAUGGAGGAACACCGGUGGCGAAAGCGGCUCUCUGGUCUGUAACUGACGCUGAGGCUCGAAAGCGUGGGGAGCGAACAGGAUUAGAUACCCUGGUAGUCCACGCCGUAAACGAUGAGUGCUAGGUGUUAGGUCCUUUCCGGGACUUAGUGCCGCAGCUAACGCAUUAAGCACUCCGCCUGGGGAGUACGACCGCAAGGUUGAAACUCAAAGGAAUUGACGGGGGCCCGCACAAGCGGUGGAGCAUGUGGUUUAAUUCGAAGCAACGCGAAGAACCUUACCAGGUCUUGACAUCCCGAUGCCCGCUCUAGAGAUAGAGCUUUACUUCGGUACAUCGGUGACAGGUGGUGCAUGGUUGUCGUCAGCUCGUGUCGUGAGAUGUUGGGUUAAGUCCCGCAACGAGCGCAACCCUUAUUGUUAGUUGCCAUCAUUCAGUUGGGCACUCUAGCGAGACUGCCGGUAAUAAACCGGAGGAAGGUGGGGAUGACGUCAAAUCAUCAUGCCCCUUAUGACCUGGGCUACACGCGUGCUACAAUGGCUGGUACAACGAGUCGCAAGCCGGUGACGGCAAGCUAAUCUCUGAAAGCCAGUCUCAGUUCGGAUUGUAGGCUGCAACUCGCCUACAUGAAGUCGGAAUCGCUAGUAAUCGCGGAUCAGCACGCCGCGGUGAAUACGUUCCCGGGCCUUGUACACACCGCCCGUCACACCACGCGAGUUUGUAACACCCGAAGNCGGUGAGGUAACCGUAAGGAGCCANCC
rnacentral:rRNA from 1 species